ACAGAGGUGGCAAGUGUUGUUCGGAAUUAUUGGGCGUAAAGAGCACGUAGGCGGCCCUACAAGUCAGCUGUGAAAUCCUUCUGCUCAACGGAAGAACGGCAGUUGAUACUAUAGGGCUGGAGUGCGGGAGGGGAGAGUGGAACUUCUGGUGGAGCGGGGAAAUGCGUAGAUAUCAGAAGGAACGUCCGCGGCGAAAGGGACUCUCCAGACCGUAACUGACGCUGAGUGUGCGAAAGCUAGGGGAGCAAACGG
rnacentral:rRNA from 1 species